UGGGGAAUAUUGCACAAUGGGGGAAACCCUGAUGCAGCGACGCCGCGUGAGCGAAGAAGGUUUUCGAAUCGUAAAGCUCUGUCCUAUGAGAAGAUAAUGACGGUAUCAUAGGAGGAAGCCCCGGCUAAAUACGUGCCAGCAGCCGCGGUAAUACGUAUGGGGCGAGCGUUGUCCGGAAUUAUUGGGCGUAAAGGGUACGUAGGCGGGUAAGCAAGUUAGAAGUGAAAUCCUGUAGCUCAACUACAGUAAGCUUUUAAAACUGCUCAUCUUGAGAUAUGGAAGGGAAAGUGGAAUUCCUAGUGUAGCGGUGAAAUGCGCAGAUAUUAGGAGGAAUACCGGUGGCGAAGGCGACUUUCUGGCCAUAAUCUGACGCUGAGGUACGAAAGCGUGGGUAGCAAACAGG
rnacentral:rRNA from 1 species